AAACUGAAGAGUUUGAUCAUGGCUCAGAUUGAACGCUGGCGGUAUGCUUAACACAUGCAAGUCGAACGGUAACAGCAGAAGCUUGCUUCUGGCUGACGAGUGGCGGACGGGUGAGUAACGCGUGGGAAUCUGCCUACUAGCGGGGGAUAGCCCGGAGAAAUCCGGAUUAAUACCGCAUACGCCCUACGGGGGAAAGCUGGGGAUCUUCGGACCUGGCACUAGUAGAUGAGCCCGCGUUGGAUUAGCUUGUUGGUAGGGUAAUGGCCUACCAAGGCGACGAUCCAUAGCUGUUCUGAGAGGAAGAUCAGCCACACUGGGACUGAGACACGGCCCAGACUCCUACGGGAGGCAGCAGUGGGGAAUAUUGCACAAUGGGCGCAAGCCUGAUGCAGCAAUACCGCGUGUGUGAAGAAGGCCUGAGGGUUGUAAAGCACUUUCAAUAGUGAAGAAAAGCUCA
rnacentral:rRNA from 1 species